CAUCAUCACCCUCCAUCGCACACUCUAUGCCUUGAGGGCGUCUUAUAGACUGGAACUUCCACAAACAACAUACCACAAAAGCAACAUGGCCGCUGAACACUUAGAGGUAGUGCUCAUUUUAUAGAGCAUAGGCUGUACCUGUUGCAAGAGAGUGCGAUAGUUACAUUAAUUUUUAAUUAAGGGAUCACCAUAUCUGUUUUUCUGGCCAAUGCUUGGUUGUUCUGGGUGAGUAUGGGAGGGUAUGAUAGACGCACCAUCGUGGUUUACAGCACACGAACAUGUCCAAACUUAACGUGAGAAGCACCAACUCGUCACAACUCAUUCCUUCUCACUGACAACCCGUCCAAAAUGCCGGGAACUGAAGCCUUCACCAAGCCUUUCCAGGACGGGUUGGCGAAGUUUUUCCACUUCUACAGCCGACUCGAGACGAAGGAACUGCCAAAUGAUCUGGAGACUGGGAAAAGGAAGAGAGAGAAACCACAUGUGUCAAAGUUAGACCUGAGAGACUUGGAGGAUGAUGACGUGGUUAUAUUUGACCGGACGUGGUACGUCAUACGCCCGUCAGGACGUCAUUGUGACGUCGAUCCUUUGGUGAUGACGCUACGUCCACCUGGACAGACUGACGUCACCAGGACGCUGAGACGUCUGAGAGGAAUGACCACCUGCUGCUCUGUCCUUGGAUGGAUCACAACUACGUGCCCCCUCCUUUGUGUCUGCCGGCGGAGUGGGCAUCAGGCCCUCUAGCCGCAUGUAUCAUGUGCACCCGAGAUCUGGACGGGAUCAUGAACUCUAUUUGGUGACUUCACAAGAUUCCCUAACAACAGGAAUCUGGAGGCGAGACUGACAAUGCAACCGCGAAACCUACACAUCUCCCGAUAUAAGGAACAGCAGUAGUUGCUGUACCCAGUUCUGCACUGACAGCAAGAGAUGGUCCAGCUGACAUGGGAUGCUGUUCGUUCUAAGCUCCCUUAUUCAGGCAAGAAAGGGCGAUGAACAGCUAGAAAACCAUUCUUAAUGUUCUCCUUCUGAGUGGAUAGCUUACAAGUAAAUGUCUUUUUUUAAGUAACCAAUCAAGAAAGUGGAAAUUCUUUUCAUAGUCUAACAUCAUUUGAAUUCAGGUUCUGUGCCAUAAACUAUAUAAUAUCAGUUUCAACAUUUUCAUACAAGCUCUGCACUGUGAUACAGAGAGCAGAGAGCCAAGCCAUUGACAGGAGACUGGAUUUAUUGUGAGGUAAUCAAAAUAUGUUCAUCAUAAUACAACAGAGAAGUAAAUGUAAUGAAUUAACUGUAUCUCAUUUAAUUUCAUUACAGAAAUUCAUGUCACAUGAUGGUGCACUUUGAACUGUAGCGCACCAAGGGGUACUAUUUAAACUGUACCAAGCAUUCCAUACAUGGAAGGGAGGCAAGUUAGAUAUAACGUUAAACAUAAUUACAAUUUUAUGAUGCAUGAAAUGACAAUGUUUAGAAAAUCUACAGAAAACAUUGCAUUUGUAUGAUGAUAUGACUUACAACAAUUGUAAAAGGCAAGACAUCACUUUAUGUGUAUUUGCAAUACAAAAUCUACCCCAAUUAUAGCUAAGGAAGGAUAUGAUAGAUGUAAACAUUUGUAUUUUCUGUUCGUUAACAUAUACAAGACUUAGUACAAUACUUAAUUUGUAUCAUGAUAACAUUGUGUGAAUAUUGGAGGAACCCAGCCUCUUAGAAAUGUCUUUUGUUACAAGCUUACAUCAUAUAGAUAGGAAAACAAAUAAUUAUGAAAUAUACACACCGUACAAAGACACAGUACAUAUACAUAAUGAAAUAAGAGAAUAUUUUUGAAUUAUGGAAGAGUUGUAGUCUACAGUUUGAGAUCUAAAUGUACAAUAUCUAUAUAUAUAUUGCUGCAGAAUUUUGUUACUAUUUUGUUUAACACUUAAAUUAGAUAAAGAUUAAAUUUGACUGUAAUGUUUGUAAAAUUUGAAAGAACAGGCUCAUUGGUGAUAGCCUACAUGUACAUGUAUAAAAAGCUACCCAUAAGGUGAAGAACAAGUAGCAAGGCACUUUGAAUCAUUAGGUAAACAAACACUGCCAAUAGAAAUGGUUCCUUGGCAGGCUUUUGGGAGAAAAGAGAUUAAUCUCUAUUAUCUUCAAUAGAUAUGCUAUACAUGUUACUACUGGCCACCAGAGUGUCAUGGUUUCACUUGUCAUGCAAUGCUCCUUCCAUUACUGACGGAACGAUAUAAAAAAAACUGUAUAUACUCUAAAGUAAUUCACUAUAGAUCUGUCUGCCAAUAUAGUCUAUUAUCUAUUUUUUUCUACCAUGGAUGAAAUCUUCAAUAUUCAAUAACAAUGUGACAAGCGAGACUGGGAUUCUGACGAGCUUGUCCUUAUAAAAUGAGGGGAAGACAUGUUUGAAAAAAAGCUUGACAUUAAAAUAAAAAAGAAGUA